UACGUAGGGUGCAAGCGUUGUCCGGAAUUAUUGGGCGUAAAGAGCGUGUAGGCGGUUAGGUAGGUCCGUUGUGAAAACUCGAGGCUCAACCUCGAGACGCCGAUGGAAACCAUCUAACUAGAGUCCGGAAGAGGAGAAUGGAAUUCCUGGUGUAGCGGUGAAAUGCGCAGAUAUCAGGAAGAACACCCGUGGCUAAGGCGGUUCUCUAGUACGGUACUGACGCUGAGACGCGAAAGCGUGGGGAGCGAACAGG
rnacentral:rRNA from 1 species